rnacentral:misc_RNA from 1 species
AAGUCGUAACAAGGUUUCCGUAGGUGAACCUGCGGAAGGAUCAUUAUCGAGUUUUAUGAACAGGUUGUCGCUGGCCUUUCACGAGGCAUGUGCACGCUUGGCUCAUUUUCCACUCUUCAACUUCUGUGCACUUUUUGUAAGAACCGGUGAAAGCCAGCUGGGUAACAGCUGGUAGAAACCUCUUCUUAUGUUUUAUUACACACGCCUCAGUUUAUAGAAUGUCAAUGUUGUGUAUAACACAAUUUAAAUAUAACUUUCAGCAACGGAUCUCUUGGCUCUC